rnacentral:rRNA from 1 species
GACGGAGGGUGCUAGCGUUGUUCGGAAUCACUGGGCGUAAAGGGCGCGUAGGCGGCUACAGGUGUCGGAUGUGAAAGCCCGGGGCUCAACCCCGGAGGUGCAUCCGAAACUCUGGGGCUGGAGGCCGGAAGAGGAGGGUGGAAUACCCAGUGUAGAGGUGAAAUUCGUAGAUAUUGGGUGGAACACCGGUGGCGAAAGCGGCUCCCUGGCCCGGUCCUGACGCUGAGGCGCGAAAGCGUGGGGAGCAAACAGG